UGAGGAAUCUUGCGCAAUGGGGGAAACCCUGACGCAGCAACGCCGCGUGAGUGAGAAAGGUCUUCGGGUCGUAAAGCUCUGUCAGGCGGGAAGAAAUGCAUGGAGGUGAACAGCCGCCAUGCUUGACGGUACCGCCAGAGGAAGCACCGGCUAACCCCGUGCCAGCAGCCGCGGUAAUACGGGGGGUGCAAGCGUUGUUCGGAAUCAUUGGGCGUAAAGAGCGUGUAGGCGGCUUGGUAAGUCAGAUGUGAAAGCCCUGGGCUCAACCCGGGAAGUGCAUUUGAAACUGCCAGUCUCGAGUAGGGGAGAGGGAAGUGGAAUUCCUGGUGUAGAGGUGAAAUUCGUAGAUAUCAGGAGGAACACCGGUGGCGAAGGCGACUUCCUGGCCCUAUACUGACGCUGAGACGCGAGAGCGUGGGUAGCAAACAG
rnacentral:rRNA from 1 species